UAAGAACCUCACCUUUCUUGAUAUGAAGGUUGAGGUUAUGAUAUAAUGUGCCCAGUGGGCCACUUUUGGUAAGCAGAACUGGCGCUGUGGGAUGAACCAAACGUAAUGUUACGGUGCCAAAAUUAACAACUCAUACAGAUACCAUGAAAGGCGUUGGUUGCUUAAAACAGCAGGACGGUGGACAUGGAAGUCGUAAUCCGCUAAGGAGUGUGUAACAACUCACCUGCCGAAGCAACUAGCCCUUAAAAUGGAUGGCGCUUAAGUUGUAUACCUAUACAUUACCGCUAAAGUAAAUGAUUUAUAUUCAAUUACGAUUGGAUUUAAUAAAUUUUGAAACUUUAGUGAGUAGGAGGGUAUAAUGAUGUGCAUAGAAGUGUUUGGCGUAAGCCUGCAUGGAGCCGUCAUUAGCACAGAUCUUGGUGGUAGUAGCAAAUAAUCGAAUGAGACCUUGGAGGACUGAAGUGGAGAAGGGUUUCGUGUGAACAGUGGUUGAUCACGAGUUAGUCGGUCCUAAGUUUAAUGCGAAAGCUGAAUAUUUUCAAAGUUUAAUAAUAAUAUAAUAUAAAAUAUAAAACACUUUGAUUAAUAUAUUUAAACGAAAGUUUCGUGUGAACAGUGGUUGAUCACGAGUUAGUCGGUCCUAAGUUUAAUGCGAAAGCUGAAUAUUUUCAAAGUUUAAUAAUAAUAUAAUAUAAAAUAUAAAACACUUUGAUUAAUAUAUUUAAACGAAAGGGAAUACGGUUCCAAUUCCGUAACCUGUUGAGUAUCCGUUUGUUAUUAAAAAUGGGCCUUGUGCUCAUCCUGGUAACAGGAACGACCAUAAAGAAGCCGUCGAGAGAUAUUGGAAGAGUUUUCUUUUCUGUUUUAUAAUCGUACUACCAUGGAAGUCUUUCGAAGAGAGAUAUGGUAGAUGGAUUAGAAGAGCAUGACAUUUACUGUUGUGUCGAUAUUAUCUCCUCGGACCUUGAAAAUUUAUGGUGGGGUCACGUAAAUCUCUCAACAGGCCGUACCGAUAUCCGCAGCUGGUCUCCAAGGUGAAGAGUCUCUAGUCGAUAGAAUAAUGUAGGUAAGGGAAGUCGGCAAAUUAUUUAAGGAGUUUUUAACAAGAGGUGUCAGAAAAGUUACCACAGGGGUAACUGGCUUGUGGCGGCCAAGCGUUCAUAGCGACGUCGCUUUUUGAUCCUUCGAUGUCGGCUCUCCCUAUCAUUGUGAAGCAAAAUUCACCAAGCGUUGGAUUGUUCACCCAUGCAAGGGAACGUGAGCUGGGUUUAGACCGUCGUGAGACAGGUUAGUUUUACCCUACUAAUGACAAUAUGUUAUUGCGACAGCAUUCCUGCGUAGUACGAGAGGAACCGCAGGUACGGACCAAUGGUACAAUACUUGUUCGAGCGAACAGUGGUAUGAUACUACGUCCGUUGGAUUAUGCCUGAACGCCUCUAAGGUCGUAUCCGCGCUGGACUGCAAUGAUAAAUAUGGGGCAAUUGCAUUGUAUGGCUUCUAAAUUAUUUUUUAAGUUUCAUAAGUAACAUUAUAAAACGACAAACAAAUUAAUUGUAUGUGACGCCAAUGUUAUAUGUAAUAUAGCUAAUGUAAGAGGAUUAAAUAUCACUUGCAUGUUACGCUUUUUUAAUUACACAUAUUUAAAACAUUAUUUAAUACAAUGACAAUGCCUAGAAUCAAUUGUAAACGACUUUGGUAACGGGCAAGGUGUUGUAAG
rnacentral:rRNA from 1 species